AUUUCAUGUUUUAAAGGCAUAAUGAUAUCACUGACUGGCUGAUGAAAUCACAAGCGUAGGUAGUAUGCUACAUGAGGAGCAAGUUUUUCGCUAGCACCACAAAAGUCUCUGGCCCAAUGAGUGGAGUUUGAUAGUAGUUCUUGUCACAAGU
ensembl:snoRNA SNORA62 Small nucleolar RNA SNORA62/SNORA6 family